GGAGUUUGAUCCUGGCUCAGGAUGAACGCUGGCGGCGUGCCUAAUACAUGCAAGUCGAACGAUAGCCCGAUUUCGGUUGGGUAAAAGUGGCGAACGGGUGAGUAACACAUAGCUGACCUGCCCUUUAGCGGGGGACAACUGUUGGAAACGACAGCUAAUACCGCGUACGCUCAUCGGGAUUAGAAGCCGGUGAGGAGACUUACGGGGCUGAAGGAAGGGGCUGUGGCCCAUCAGGUAGUUGGUAGGGUAAAAGCCUACCAAGCCGACGACGGGUAGGGGGCCUGAGAGGGUGACCCCCCACACUGGAACUGAGAAACGGUCCAGACUCCUACGGGAGGCAGCAGUAAGGGAUAUUGCGCAAAUGGGCGAAAGCCUGACGCAGCAACGCCGCGUGUGGGAUGACGGCCUUCGGGUUGUAAACCACUUUUCGAGGUGAAGAGAGAGGACGGUAACCUCGGAAGAAGUCUCGGCUAACUACGUGCCAGCAGCCGCGGUAAAACGUAGGAGGCGAGCGUUAUCCGGAUUUACUGGGUGUAAAGUGCGUGCAGGCGGUUCUGUAAGUGGGGUGUGAAAGCGCUCGGCUCAACCGGGCGAGGACGUUCCAGACUGCAGAACUAGAGGCAGGCAGAGGCGUGUGGAAUUCCGGGUGUAGUGGUGAAAUGCGUAGAUAUCCGGAGGAACACCAGUGGCGAAGGCGACACGCUAGGUCUGAACUGACGCUCAGACGCGAAAGCAUGGGGAGCGAACGGGAUUAGAAACCCCGGUAGUCCAUGCCGUAAACGAUGCUGACUAGGUGUGGGAGAGGUGAAACUCUACUGUGCCGAAGCUAACGCGAUAAGUCAGCCACCUGGGGACUACGGCCGCAAGGUUAAAACUCAAAGGAAUUGACGGGGGCCCGCACAAGCAGCGGAGCGUGUGGUUUAAUUCGAGUCUACACGAAGAACCUUACCUGGGCUUGACAUGGGGGUGGUAGCGAAGCGAAAGCGGAGCGACCCGUAAGGGAGCCUUCACAGGUGCUGCAUGGCUGUCGUCAGCUCGUGUCGUGAGAUGUUCGGUUAAGUCCGGUAACGAGCGCAACCCUCAGGUUUUUACAUGUGUCUAAACCGACUGCCCGUAGAAAGCGGGAGGAAGGUGGGGAUGACGUCAAGUCAGCAUGGCCUUUAUGCCUAGGGCUACACACACGCUACAAUGGCCCACACAAUAGGUUGCCAACCCGCGAGGGGGAGCCAAUCCAGUAAAGUGGGUCUCAGUUCGGAUUGUAGGCUGCAACUCGCCUGCAUGAAGCCGGAGUUGCUAGUAACCGCAGGUCAGCUAUACUGCGGUGAAUACGUUCCCGGGCCUUGUACACACCGCCCGUCACGUCAUGGGAGCUGGUCACGCCUGAAGCCGGUGGGCAAACCGUAAGGGUGCAGCCGUCUAAGGCAGGGCCGGUGACUGGGACGAAGUCGUAACAAGGUA
rnacentral:rRNA from 1 species